rnacentral:rRNA from 1 species
UACGAAGGGGGGCUAGCGUUGCUCGGAAUCACUGGGCGUAAAGGGUGCGUAGGCGGGUCUUUUAAGUCAGGGGUGAAAUCCUGGAGCUCAACUCCAGAACUGCCUUUGAUACUGAAGAUCUUGAGUUCGGGAGAGGUGAGUGGAACUGCGAGUGUAGAGGUGAAAUUCGUAGAUAUUCGCAAAGAACACCAGUGGCGAAGGCGGCUCACUGGCCCGAUACU